UUAUUUCGAAGGCAACAACGGAGGAAUCCACUUCUCGGAGUUGCUGCUGGAAAUUACGAGGGCAAGCCUCGUAAAAGCGGCCGUUUUGGUUGGAGUAGCGAGGGGUUUGGCUCAAUAAGUUGAAGGCGUAUCCCUCGCUACCUUUCCCCCUUGGUGAAGUAGCUCCUUGGCUCAAUGCCCUUAUUUGUUCUUGGCUGGCUUUACGGAACAUUCCCUGUCCCUGCUGCCUUCGAUGGCUUUGCCUCCCACCAAACAGCUCGUCUAGCUGCUCACUUCGUGUCUAAUACGACAAAACAUGAAUGAAUCAAUGAAUAAUUGAAUUUUAUUUAAAAAAACAAAAAAUAAUAAUUAGUUCAAAGAAUAAUACAUUGAAGACAGCCUCAAGAAUUUCACGGCUGAAGAUUCGUAAGUAUGACUGAGGAUUUUCCUGUCCAGCAGGGAAGAAUUUCUGCAGCAAAAUACAGAUAAAAGGGGUUAAUAACUUUAUAUAUUACUAAUAAGUUUCUGAAUGUUUUAAAGGUAAAAUACCUGGAAUUGUCCAGGGUUAUUGACAGGUCGGUGGAGCACUGCUAUGGUUAGCUUUUCCCUGUUGUCUUGGUUGGCCAAGUACACAGUGCUUCCUGCUGGAAUUCUUACUACAACUCCAGGAACUACAUUGUAUGACUCUUUGUUUUCAUGUGUCACGAACGUAAUUGUUCCUCUUCCUGAGAAAGUAAAUAAUUUACCAUGUUUUAGUUAAUGGUGAUAUAUUAUAUAUUUUAAUAAAAGGGAAGAGCAAAAAUAGAGUAUUCACCGUUAGUGACAACGUAAAUUUUCUCCGCGUCACAAUGGUGUGGGAGAACGAAAGUGUUGGGGUUUGCUUCUAAAAUGGCAAUGCGGAACUCGUUGAUGCCCCUAAGUAAAUGAUGUUUGUCAGCAAACCUCUGGAGGACUCUGAAAUUGCCAUGUUCUUCCCUGAAUCGUUCUUGGAACGAUCUGCGAUGGAAGUAGUAAGGGUUGUUCCUUUGUUGUUGCUCUCCUUCGUCACUUUCCUCUUCUUCUUCUUCUCUCCACUUGUUUUCUCUCUCUCCCUUCCAUGGAUCCUCUUGGUACUGUUCCCUGCAUUCCUUCACACAUUGUUGCUUCCGUUCGGGCCUUUGCUCUUGCCAUUGGCAACGCUGUUGACACUCCUUGAAUCGCUUGUCAGGCUGCUGCUGCUGCUGUUUCUCGUAUUGUUCCCUGCAGCUUUGUUCGCAAUGUGGACGCAGCCUUCUUUCUUCCUGUUGGCAGUGUUGUCGGCAAUCCUGGUAUCUCCUCUGAGGAUCUUCUCCGUCACGCUGCUGCUCCUCCUUCAACUGCGUUUCACACCUGUCUUCACACUUGUCUUGCUCCGUUUGUCCACGUGUCUCCAAUUGGCAUCGCUUCCGGCAGUCCUCGUACCUCUGUUGAGGAUCAUCCUCGCUUCUUCUGCCGGGGAAGUCUUUGGCAGAGCAAAGCAAGCCAAAGGAAAGGAAAAGAGAAAAGAGCAAAACUACGAAAACUGACUUGUUCCUCACCAUGAUUACUAUAAGCUCUGUAUUUUUUAGUGCACGAUGGUAAUGGCAAAGACCGGUAAUGUAUUUAUAGAAGGUGGAACUGUGGAAGGUGAUGUUUUUGCAUGCAAAUCUCCAUCAACGUGUUGAAGACAUUGACAUGCAAGGUGACGAGUGUGCAAAUUAAAGAAGACAAAAUAUUUUGAGUCUUUUUUUAUCGAGAUGCCACAUCCCUUCACGUGGUACGGUCAGGGUUCGGACAAGCUUUGUUGCAGAGGGGAAUCAUGGUUGUAUCUGUAACUAGAAGUGGCGAAGUGAUAAUGCUUUGACAGUAGAGUGGUGGACCGAGUUGUCGUUUGUGUCAACUCAGGUGAGUUUAAAGAGUGUAAAAAGUGGGAUGUGGCUGUUUUAUGAGGUGAAUUAGAGACGAGUUGAUGUCCCGAUUCACUGAGUUUUAAGGUUGAGUUGGUUUUUAUCUGCACUUGGGCAGAAUGGAGGACAGCUCAAGUGUACACAUGUUGCUGUGCAUGGUGAUGACUGAUGAGUUGCUUGAGAUAUGAACGAAUUAAGACAUGUACAUAGAUACUAUUUGAAUUUGAUAUAAUCUAAUUGUAUAAAUUCAUGCUACUGAAAUUUAAAAACUAAGAUAACAUGUCACAUGUUUGAAAAAUAAAAAUGAAUUUUAAAUGAAGGCAUGCUUAUACUUGGUUUUUUUUAGUUGGGUGAGAGAAGUUAUGAGUAGAAAUAAAGAUUAUAUUAAAAUAAAUUUUAAAAUUAUUAUUGAAAUUUUAAAUUUAUUCAUUAAAUAUGUUAGAAAAUAUAAUUUGUAAAAAAGAUUAAAUAUUGAUGGCUAAAAAAAACUCAAAAAUAUAAUUAAAGUUAUUUUAACAAAACAUACAAAUGCUAAUAGCCAAAUUUAUGAAAAAGUCAUAAUGGUUUCUUUUAAUAUUACGAGUUCAAUGUCACUUUAACCAUCUCAUGGAGCUAAUCAACCGCGCAAUACAUGAUCAUAAUGCCUACAACGGGGCCUUGCAGACGAAUGGCACCUUACAGACUACCUCGCGAACAGAAUCAACGGUUCACACAACAAAUAUCUCGAUUCACAACACAUCUCCUCAAGACAGAAAUUAUCCCACAUACCACCUAACAUUCUCCUUCAAAUACAAUCACCAAGAUUCACCGUACGGCGCAGCAGCAUCACUAACCACUGACAGCCCUUAUCCACUAACUUUUGCUACGUCCUUACAACACUUCAACCAAACUCACUGCAAAUUACUAUUUAUCAGACAAUUACUAUGUCAUCUCCAACGGCUCCGGUUUUCAACAUGUUUGUAUACCCCCCAAACAGGAAGCGGCGCAGGUACCUCCUUGGCCAAGUUUAUGUCCAUUGGAAGUUACAACCAAUACUCGCAGGUAUCAAACACCUGCAAAACGGGAUCUGAUUAUACGUACAAGAGGAACGAUACCCACUCCAUGCAACAGUCAACAGGUUGGCAUACGUAGCCUGGAACUUGUUUCUUUGACUUGAAGUUUACCAAAAAAAUUAUACCACUUUAACUAUAUAUUAAAAGAAUUUGAUUCACGAUUUGUUUAAAUUUUUUAUAAAUGAGAAUGAGAAUAAAAUUGUUUGAGAUCGAAUUUAACCUUUAAUAUUUACAAUAUAAUGUUUUUAUUACUAGGUCUAGAGGUUGCUGACAAAAUGACUUAUUUAAUUAAAUGUCAUUUUGCUUAGCAAUGCAAGUUCAUUUUCAUUACAAAAAGGAAAUAUUUUCUCUUGAUAUUAUACCACAUCUUGAACAUGAAAGUUAGUGAAAAUUAAACUUGUUUAAUUAAAUCAAUUAUAUAUAUAAGAAAAGAAAGAAAGGCAAAAGUGAUGAAUAAAAAAACUUCAAUGGAGCAUUGGGGAUAAUAAAAGAAAUAUAUAUCUUAAAGCAAGGUUAAUUUUGUAAUAAUAAACACUAGUUAACCCAUUGGAGCAUUUACCUUCGUUGCAUUUGAUAAAACUCACCUCACUGGUGAAAUUCGAGGGGAGCUAAAACCUCCGGUUGGAAUUUUUUUUGUUCAGAAAGUUGUGCAACAGACAAGCAGAUUGGAGGGAUUAUUGUUGUACCCAAAAUAUGUGGGUUUAGACCUAGAGUCAUAACCACCGGCUGAAGUCCAAAUAGCAAUAAAAGGCUCAAGCAAUAAGCAGGCUAGCCAAUUACUAAAUGACCCAUUAAAGGGUUACUUGCUCAUUUAAUGAAAACGAACCUGACCUUACCCCUGUAGAGCUUGAGAGUUGGUAUAAGCAUCCUCCUUAUGUCUUCAUGCAAGAAGCUUUUCAUAAGCUCCAUUCGACUUAAACUCAAGCUGUUGAACAAGAUAGAACGGGGAUCUAACAACCCUAAAAUAGAAUGUAGCUAAUUCACCAAUCAAAUAUAAUGGUUAGAUCUAAACAUGAGAUCGGGUAGCUCCACAAAAAUAUUACAAAAUCCAUAAAUGCUCACUAUCUAACAUUAUAAAAAUUUAUCCUUUCUCAAGAUUGAAAAUUUUGGUAUUAGUAUAAUUUUUAGAGACAUUAACAACAUCAAAUGACAUAAUACUAAUUACUUAAGUACUUAACAUUUUAUUCCUUAACAUAGAAAGACAAAAAAACGCACUCAAAAGUUCAUACAAGUUAUUGCACUACAAAACAAGGGUCUCCUCCUUUACAUAGGUCACCAUUUUUAUUUCAUUACAUGCCUGCUUAAAACUAGAAAAUUUCACAUUAGUCCAUAAACACGAGACUAUGUGAUUAUUAUUGCCUUUAACUCUUUAUUCAGAUGCACGCUGCCUCUGUCGAGACACGAAGUAAGACUCUUGUGGGUUGCUGUUGAAUAUCUCAUCCACCAACCUCGAUGACACCCCAAAGGCCAACUCCUUGGCUUGGCUAUCCCAUUGUCUCACAUGGUUGAUUUUCCCAGCCACGAAGAUCCUCUGGUUAUGGUCUGGGUUAAUGUUCUGGUUGUAAAGACCGAACCCAGUCAUCCUCAGGUUCUGGUUUUGGGAUGCAACGAAUGUAACUGGAAAGUUUGCUGGGACUACAAAUAUGUCUCCACGCGACAACCGGGACCUUAUUUUCCUGUAUUGUCCACUUCUCCUUUCCUCUUCUUGUUCUUGUUCUUCUUCUUCUUCUUCUUCUUCUUCUUCUUCAUAUGAGCUUUGCCUAGGAAGAUGAGGAGAAACCAUUUCAGCGUAUCCAUUUCCUUCGGUAACAAGGAUCACGAAUGUAGCCUUUGAAUUGUAGUGCGGCACAAAGAUUGAUCCCUACAAAAAAAGGAUUUGAUUUUGGUUAGUAUAAUGAUGGAAAUUAGAGGGAAAACAAAGGGUGGUUUGGUUUUAAGUACUUGGUUUAAUUGCAAGGCUGAAACGGUGACAUUGAUGUCCCUGAGUUGCCGGAAUUCACGUGGGCAAGCCUCGAAGAAGCGGCCGUUUUGGUUGGAGUAGCGAGGGGUUUGGCUCAAUAAGUUGAAGGCGAAUCUCUCGCCACUUUUCUCCCUUGGUGAAGUAGCUUCUUGGCUCAAUGCCCUUAUUUGUUCCUGGCUGGCUUUACGGAACAUUCCCUGUCCCUGCUGCCUUCGACGGCUUUGCCUCCCACCAAACAGCUCGUCUAGCUGCUCACUUCGUGUCUAAUACAACACAACAUGAAUGAAUCAAUGAAUAAUCAAGUUUUAUUAAAAAAAAGUUGAUUAAUUAGUUCAAA
rnacentral:lncRNA from 1 species